CUAUGGUGGCGACCGGCGCACGGGUGCGUAACGCGUAUGCAACCUACCUUUAACAGGGGGAUAACACUGAGAAAUUGGUACUAAUUCCCCAUAACAUUCGAGAAGGCAUCUUCUUGGGUUAAAAACUCCGGUGGUUAAAGAUGGGCAUGCGUUGUAUUAGCUAGUUGGUGAGGUAACGGCUCACCAAGGCAACGAUACAUAGGGGGACUGAGAGGUUAACCCCCCACAUUGGUACUGAGACACGGACCAA
rnacentral:rRNA from 1 species